rnacentral:misc_RNA from 1 species
GAACGCACAUUGCACUCUUUUAGAGUAUGCCUGUUUGAGAAUCUAUAGUAUUAAUUUUUGGCUGUUUUUCUUUAGAAAAACAGGCAAGAGAUAUGGAGUUUCCCCCGCAAGAGGGUGCUUUGAAAUAGAUUGCCUUUGUUUUUGUUGGACUCGACGAAGUUUUUCAAAACCCGCAGAAAAGUAUUUGAAUGGAACCGUGGUUUCUCUUGAUGCUGAAUAUGCAGGCGAAAGAUGGAGUUUCCUUCAGGCAAAGGCCCAUACCUAAUAAGUCAGUUUUAGGACUGGCUUGAACCAUGGUCUCAAAUCAGGUAGGAAGACCCGCUGAACUUAAG